rnacentral:rRNA from 1 species
GUGUCAGCAGCCGCGGUAAUACGAGGGGGGCAAGUGUUGUUCGGAAUCACUGGGCGUAAAGGGAGCGUAGGCGGAUGCUUAAGUUGGAUGUUUAAAACCGGGGCCCAACCUCGGAGCGGCAUCCAAAACUGGGCGUCUUGAAUGGAACAGAGGCUAGUGGAAUUGGGGGUGUAGCGGUGGAAUGCGUAGAGAUCCCCAAGAACACCAAUUGCGAAGGCAGCUAGCUGGGUUCACAUUGACGCUGAGGCUCGAAAGCAUGGGGAGCAAACAGGAUUAGAAACCCCCGUAGUCC